rnacentral:rRNA from 1 species
AACGAACGCUGGCGGCAGGCUUAACACAUGCAAGUCGAACGCCCCGCAAGGGGAGUGGCAGACGGGUGAGUAACGCGUGGGAAUCUACCCAUCUCUGCGGAAUAGCUCUGGGAAACUGGAAUUAAUACCGCAUACGCCCUACGGGGGAAAGAUUUAUCGGGGAUGGAUGAGCCCGCGUUGGAUUAGCUAGUUGGUGGGGUAAAGGCCUACCAAGGCAACGAUCCAUAGCUGGUCUGAGAGGAUGAUCAGCCACAUUAGGACUGAGACACGGCCCAAACUCCUACGGGAGGCAGCAGUGGGGAAUAUUGGACAAUGGGCGCAAGCCUGAUCCAGCCAUGCCGCGUGAGUGAUGAAGGCCUUAGGGUUGUAAAGCUCUUUCACCGAUGAAGAUAAUGACGGUAGUCGGAGAAGAAGCCCCGGCUAACUUCGUGCCAGCAGCCGCAGUAA